rnacentral:rRNA from 1 species
AUUAAGUGGAGAGUUUGAUCCUGGCUCAGAAUGAACGCUGGCGGCGUGCCUAACACA